UCAUCAUUAUCAUCAUCAUCAUAUUCAUCUUCAUCAUCAUCGUCAUCAUCAUCAUCAUCAUCGUAUGAGAAGAUAGAGAAGAGUGAGAGUAUGAGAUUUGAGUUGAGA